rnacentral:rRNA from 1 species
AACGAACGCUGGCGGCAGGCUUAACACAUGCAAGUCGAACGCCCCGCAAGGGGAGUGGCAGACGGGUGAGUAACACGUGGGAACGUGCCCUUCGCUUCGGGAUAGCCUCGGGAAACUGGGAGUAAUACCGAAUACGCCGUAUUGGGAAAGAUAUAUCGGCGAAGGAUCGGCCCGCGUUGGAUUAGCUAGUUGGCGGUGUAAUGGACCACCAAGGCUACGAUCCAUAGCUGGUCUGAGAGGACGACCAGCCACACUGGGACUGAGACACGGCCCAGACUCCUACGGGAGGCAGCAGUGGGGAAUCUUGGACAAUGGGCGCAAGCCUGAUCCAGCCAUGCCGCGUGAGUGAAGAAGGCCUUAGGGUUGUAAAACUCUUUCGCCGGUGAAGAUAAUGACGGUAACCGGAGAAGAAGCCCCGGCUAACUUCGUGCCAGCAGCCG